UUGGCGCUGGGGCAGCGGGACCCAACCGCCGUGGACAAGGUGCUGUCCGCGCAGCACCCGCAGUUCCUGGCCGGAACGGGCUCCAUGCUGCAGGCCAUUGCCCCUGCUCCAGCUCCGUUCCAACUCUCCCUUGUGCUCGCUGGUCCGACCAUGGAACUCGUAUCUGCUCCUCCGUUCAGGCUCCUCAGGUCCGGUCGUCGCCCUGCUCCCUGGUGCUCCCUGCUAGUUGACCUCCGCCACCAUGCCAGUCUGGCCAUGUGUUGGCCGUCGGCUCCCUGGAACCAGCGCCCCAGCCACCAACCUCCGCUCACUUCGACGACGGACCGUGCCGCUGGUCCAUCCAUGGCCGUGAGUCCACCUCCGCCGAGCUGCUAG
rnacentral:misc_RNA from 1 species